rnacentral:lncRNA from 1 species
GUGCAACAUAAAGUGGACUUUUACGUCGUUUCGUCAUUACUUAAAUGACCAUGGUGUUGUUUGUGUUCUUUUUCAUAAUGACUUUUUGCAUCUUUUUUUCUCUUUUCAGAGACGUUGCAAACACUCCCGAGGUUCUUUCGAGAAUCACUUUAGAUUACAUGAUAUGUUUAUUGCCAAGUUUGCAUUGCUACAUUAUAGUUUCUGUUAGUGUUACAUUUUGGUGUUGUGUAUCUGUUGUGUCGUACAUGUGGUUUUCUUAUAUUUGAUACGUUUCCCUCAUUUUUAGUUUGUAACCCGUAUUUGUUUUUUCUCUGUCGAUUUAUGAAUUUCGAACCGUGGUAUACUACUGUUGCCUUUAUUUGCUUAUGACAUAUAAUCCAUUUUUGUUCAACUCAAACAUAAAUCGCAUUAUAAGAUUCAUGUAAAAGUAAAUGUAAUUCGGAUCAUUUAUUGACUCUGUAAUAAACAUGUACUAAGGUCAAGGAUUUAACUCAUUUUUCGAUUUGAAUGAAGUUCCCACAGUAAAAAAACGCAAAUUUCAUUUAUAAACACAAACUUUGAACAGCGGUAGGCCUUUUCACUCUGAAGUUGUAUAAUCACAAAUCCAGACCCGUCCAGAAAGAAAAAAAAUACAGUACAUAUUUAAAAAAUAUAUAAAAUAGUUACUAUCUUAUAGGACAUGUAGGAAUAACUGUCACAAUAAAUUGCAGAUAGUUCUAAGUUUGUUGCUACAAUACAGCUAAAGAACUUUGGACCGUUGUAAGAUUUGGAAAUACUAAUCAUGUAAAUGAAUAAAAAGAAAAUGAAUGAAACCUAAAAAGUAAAUAUAUUGCUACUUUGGAACCUAAACUGCAGUACUAGUUACAAGUACAAAUUAUGUCGAUUUCCAUUGUGGUUUUUGCCCUUGGCCAAUUUAAGUCCCUGCACCGAAUAUUUUGAAUACUUUUUGAACAUUUAACAACACAAUUGCAUACAGUAUAUGAAUUAAUUGAUUAAAAUUCAAACUCAAUCCUUUUAAAAAGAAUAUUUUCCUGAUAAAUAUAGAAUGUUUCCAUUUUGGGCGUGUUUAUCUAUUCCAAUCAAAAUUAUGAUAGAUACAUGUACGUAAAUGUUAAAAUUCAGAAAAUAAUAUGGAAAAGAAAAAGAAAAUUUACCAAAAUCAGACCUUUAACCCUGGAUUCAAUUUAUAAAGACUAAUAAGGUUGUCUUUUGACCUUUGAGAUUUAUUAUUGCACUAGCACAACUUCAUGUCAUGAUAAUAGUGAUAGAAUAUAAACCCUCCAUUGUACAAGCUAUCACAUGAUCGAUUCGGUCAACAAGGGUUAAGUUUU